CAAAUGUAAUUAUCUUUGUAUUCUGUUACAUCAAAAUCCAGAUAUUUUGUUGCAGUUUCUUUUUUUUUUUUUUUUUUUUGAGACAGGGUUGGUGCAGUCUCAGCUCACUGCAGCCUCAAACUCCUGGGCAGCUCAGGGACAGGGUCUCACUUUGUUGCCUAGGCUGGUCUCAAACUGCUGGGCUUAAGUGAUCGUUCCUCCUUGGCCUCCCGAAGUGCUGGAAUUAUAGGUGUGAACCACCAUGUCUGGCCUUGUAGUUUAUUUCUAAGUUCAAAUUAAUGUUGGUGCUUUUCCUCCUUUUUUCUUAGCAGAUGGUUUGCUAGACAGAGUCUUGCCAUGCUGCCCAGGCUGGAGUGCAGUGGUGUGAUCUCGGCUCACUGCAGCCUCCACCUCCUGGGCUCCAGCAGUCCUCCCACCUCAGCCUCCCUAAGAGCUGAGACUACAGUGCACAGCCAGAGGACAACACAUCACACACAAGAAACAGUUGUGCUCAUGUGAUGGGGGCCUCAGCACUAGGAAGGAGUGGACUGUUGGCGCACGCAGCAGCUUGAAUAAAUCUGAAAGUCACUACGCUGCGUAAGAGAAGCCAAAUAAAGCGCAUGCUGUGUACAGAGGGUGUCGAGAAUGCCUCCUACGUGACGGAAAGCAGAUCCGUGGUUCCCUGCAGACUGGCAGGAGCAGAU
rnacentral:lncRNA from 10 species